GGUUUGGUCCUGACCUUAUUAUCAACUUCUCCUAAACCUACACAUGCAAGUAUCAGCACACCCGUGAGGACGCCCUUUUCCCUUCACCAGACCAAGGAGCUGGCAUCAGGCACUAAAACUUGCCCAUCACGCCUAGUCCCACCACGCCCUCAAGGGCCUUCAGCAGUGAUAAAUAUUGUCUAUAAGCGAUAGCUUGACCCAGUUAUAGGAAAGAGAGCUGGCCAACUCGGUGCCAGCCGCCGCGGCUAAACCGCACGAGCUCAAGUUGAUAAUUAUCGGCGUUAAGCGUGAUUAAAGGCCUUUAUAAAUUAGGGUAAAACCUGCACUUAGCCGUAAUAAGCUUGCUGCUGGGAAAAACACAAACGAAAGUUACCCUAAACCACUUGAAUCCACGACAGCCGGGAUACAAACUGGGAUUAGAUACCCCACUAUGCCCCACCGUAAAAUAUUAACCCACACCAAUCAACGCCAGGAUAUUACGAGCCCUAGCUUAAAACCCAAAGGACUUGACGGUGUCCUACCCAACUAGAGGAGCCUGUUCUAUAAUCGAUAACCCCCGAUUUACCCAACCCCACUUUGCCAAUCAGUCUGUAUACCUCCGUCGUAAGCUUACCAUAUGAAUGCUUACAGUAAGUUUAAAGAUCACAACACCAAUACGUCAGGUCAAGGUGCAACUUAUGGUGGGGCAAGCAAUGGGCUACAAUUUCUACAUUAGAACAAACGAAAUACUGCAUGAAACACAGUUACGAAGGCGGAUUUAGUAGUAAAAAGAAAAUAAUGUGUUCUUUUUAACAAGGCCCUAGGACGUGUACACACCGCCCGUCACCCUCUUCAAUAGUGUCUAAUCUGUUCAUAACAACCCCUCACGUCUUAGAAGAGGCAAGUCGUAACAUGGUAAGUGUACCGGAAGGUGCACUUGGAUUAACAAAAUAUAGCUUAACUAAAGCCCCUCGCUUACACCGAGAAAAUAUCCGUGAAAAUCAGAUUAUUUUGAGCCUAAAAUUAAGCCUAGACCACCCUAUAUGAAACCCCCCCACCCUAAUUAAACCUAAUGAAACAUCUUACCAGUUUAGUAAAGGCGAUCAAAACACUUAUUAGCGCUUUAUCCUCCAGUACCGCAAGGGAAUAAUGAAAUAAACCUGAAAUAGACUUUAAGCAAAAUACAGCAGAGACCACCACUCGUACCUUUUGCAUCAUGGUUUAGUCAGUCUUACUCAAGCAAAGCGAAACAUCAGUUUGAUCCCCCGAAACCAGACGAGCUACUUCAAAACAGCUUCAUAGAGCCAACCCAUCUCUGUUGCAAAAGAGUGGGAUGAUUUUUAAGUAGAGGUGAAAAGCCUACCGAGCCUGGAGAUAGCUGGUUAUUCAGGAAAAGAAUUUUAGUUCAACCUUAAGCCUACACAUUAACCACACAAAACCCAAAGACUUAAGAGCCAUUCAAAUAAGGCACAGCUUAUUUGACAAAGGAGACAACCUAUAAAAAAGGGUAAAAAUUUUUUACGGCUUAAGUGGGCCUAAAAGCAGCCACCUUUAAAAAAGCGUUAAAGCUUGUUCCUCCCUUGAAAUUAAUUUCUAAAAAUUUCUUAAACCCUUUACCCCUACUGAAUGAUUCUAUACUACUUCUAUAGAAGACCCAAUGCUAAAACUAGUAACAAGAAAUUGAAUUUCUCCAAAACGUAAGUAUAAACCAAAAAGGACAAACCAUUGGUAAUUAACGUUAAUGAAAACCAUAUAGCAACUUCUUCAAGAAAACCCUAUUUUCACCCACGUUAAUCUCACACAAGCACACUUCUGGAAAGAUUAAAAGAAAGGGAAGGAACUCGGCAAAUUUUAACCCCGCCUGUUUACCAAAAACAUCGCCUCUUGCUAAUAUAUAAGAGGUCCAGCCUGCCCAGUGACACAAUUAAACGGCCGCGGUACCCUGACCGUGCGAAGGUAGCAUAAUCACUUGUUCUCUAAAUAGGGACUAGUAUCAACGGCAUCACGAGGGUUAUACUGUCUCCCCCCUCUAAUCAGUGAAACUGACCUCCCCGUGAAGAGGCGGGGAUAAAAAUACAAGACGAGAAGACCCCAUGGAGCUUUAAACCCAAUGACAACCUCUAUUAACUACUUCCUUUAAAUACAGAAGCUAUGCCCAUUGGUUUUAGGUUGGGGUGACCACGGAGCAUAAAAAACCCUCCAUGACGAAUAGAUAUUCAUCCUAAUCCCAGAGCCACUGCUCUAAGAAUCAAAAAUUUGACGUACUAUGAUCCGGCAACCGAUCAACGAACCAAGUUACCCUGGGGAUAACAGCGCAAUCCAUUUUAAGAGCCCUUAUCGACAAAUGGGUUUACGACCUCGAUGUUGGAUCAGGGUAUCCCAGUGGUGCAGCCGCUACUAAAGGUUUGUUUGUUCAACAAU
rnacentral:ncRNA from 1 species